rnacentral:tRNA from 1 species
AGGUCCUUAGUGUCAAUGGCUAGCACAAUGGUCUCCAAAACCAUUAGUGUGGGUUCGAAUCCCGCAGGACCUG